UACGAAGGGGCUAGCGUUGCUCGGAAUCACUGGGCGUAAAGCGCACGUAGGCGGGUCUUAAGUCGGGGGUGAAAUCCUGGAGCUCAACUCCAGAACUGCCUUCGAUACUGAGGAUCUCGAGUCCGGGAGAGGUGAGUGGAACUCGAGUGUAGAGGUGAAAUUCGUAGAUAUUCGGAAGAACACCAGUGGCGAAGGCGGCUCACUGGCCCGGUAUUGACGCUGAGGUGGCGAAAGCGUGGGGAGCAAACAGGG
rnacentral:rRNA from 1 species